UAAUGGCAUAUGCUUUAUUUUUAUUAAGUGUUCUUUUGAUUAUGGGAUUUGUAGAUUUUUCUUUGAAACCUUCUCCUAUUUAUGGGGGUUUAGGGCUAAUUAUUAGUGGUGCUGUGUUGUGGUAUUGUGUUGAAUUUUGGUGGGGCUUUUGUGGGGUUAAUGGUCUUUUUAAUUUAUUUGGGUGGUAUGAUGGUUGUCUUUGGUUAUACCGCGGUGAUGGCUAUUGAGGAGUACCUUGAGCCAUGGCGGUCAAGUAUUGACAUUUGAGAGGCUUUACUAAUUAGGAUUAUUAAUAGAGUGGUGUUGGUUGGGUGAAUAGUUGAGUACAAUGGGGUGGUGGUCGCGAUUGAUUUAAAUAGCGUAGACAGUUGAAUAAUUUUUGAGGGUGAGGGGGCAGGGUUGUUGUGUGAGGAUUCUGUGAGUGUGGCUGCCUUGUACAGUUCUGGGUUUUGAUUAGUGGUAGUUGCUGGUUGAUCAUUAUUUGUGAGUAUUUAUCUUGCAAUUGAAAUUACUCGG
rnacentral:lncRNA from 1 species